rnacentral:tRNA from 1 species
GGGGCUGUGCCUGAACUAAAGGGCCACUUUGAUAGAGUGAACCAUGAGGGUUAAAAUCCCCCCAGCUCCU